AGAGUUUGAUCCUGGCUCAGAUUGAACGCUGGCGGCAUGCCUUACACAUGCAAGUCGAACGGCAGCGCGAGGCAACCUGGCGGCGAGUGGCGAACGGGUGAGUAAUAUAUCGGAACGUACCCUGGAGUGGGGGAUAACGUAGCGAAAGUUACGCUAAUACCGCAUACGAUCUAAGGAUGAAAGUGGGGGAUCCGCAAGGACCUCAUGCUCGUGGAGCGGCCGAUAUCUGAUUAGCUAGUUGGCGGGGUAAAAGCCCACCAAGGCAUCGAUCAGUAGCUGGUCUGAGAGGACGACCAGCCACACUGGAACUGAGACACGGUCCAGACUCCUACGGGAGGCAGCAGUGGGGAAUUUUGGACAAUGGGCGAAAGCCUGAUCCAGCAAUGCCGCGUGAGUGAAGAAGGCCUUCGGGUUGUAAAGCUCUUUUGUCAGGGAAGAAACGGUGUUUUCUAAUACAGAAUGCUAAUGACGGUACCUGAAGAAUAAGCACCGGCUAACUACGUGCCAGCAGCCGCGGUAAUAC
rnacentral:rRNA from 1 species